rnacentral:tRNA from 1 species
UGGAGAGGUGGCUGAGUGGUCGAAAGCGGCUCACUGCUAAUGAGUUGUACGGGAGAACCCCGUACCGAGGGUUCGAAUCCCUCCUUCUCCGU